CCUACGGGUGGCAGCAGUGAGGAAUAUUGGUCAAUGGGCGGGAGCCUGAACCAGCCAAGUCGCGUGAGGGAAGACGGUCCUAUGGAUUGUAAACCUCUUUAGGCGGGGAGCAAUGCCGGGCACGCGUGCCCGGAGGGAGAGUACCCGCAGAAUAAGCAUCGGCUAACUCCGUGCCAGCAGCCGCGGUAAUACGGAGGAUUCGAGCGGUAUCCGGAUUUAUGGGGUGUAAAGGGUGCGUAGGCGGAUUUUUAAGUCAGCGGUAAAAUGUCCGGGCUCAACCCGGGCCGGCCGUUGAAACUGGGGAUCUUGAGUGGGCGAGAAGUAUGCGGAAUGCGUGGUGGAGCGGUGAAAUGCAUAGAGAUCACGCAGAACUCCGAUUGCGAAGGCAGCAUACCGGCGCCCGACUGAUGCUGAGGCACGAAAGCGUGGGGAUCGAACAGGAUUAGAUACCCUAGUAGUC
rnacentral:rRNA from 1 species